GACGAACAGUCCAAGCGUUAUUCGGAAUUACUGGGCGUAAAGCGUGCGCAGGCGGGUCUGUAAGUCAGAUGUGAAAUCCCCGGGCUUAACCUGGGAACUGCGUUUGAAACUACAAGGCUAGAGUGUGGCAGAGGGGGGUGGAAUUCCAAGUGUAGCAGUGAAAUGCGUAGAGAUGUGGAGGAACACCAAUUGCGAAGGCAGCUGGCUGCACAUAUAUUGACACUGAGGCACGAAAGCGUGGGGAUCAAACAGG
rnacentral:rRNA from 1 species